AACUCUCAACCCCCCUGUUUUGUAAUGAGAUAGGCGUGGGCUUGGAUUAUGGCUGCCUGUCGGCGUAAAGUCGGCUCAGCUGAAAUACACGAGCAACCCAUUUGAAAUAGACGGUUUGACUCGGCGUAAUAAUUAUUUCGCUGAGGACGUCUUCUUUAAAGUCAGUGGUGCUUCUAAUGCGUAUCAUACACUUUUAGC
rnacentral:misc_RNA from 2 species